CUUUCUGGACCGCCGGGCCAGGGAGGACCCUUCGCCUGCUCCCCGAGGGCGAGGUGGGGCCCGCAGCCCGCCUGGACGCUCCCCAGGACUUACAGACAGUGCAAGGACCUAGCAAAAGUUUUGCUGAGGGUGUUGGAAACCUUAAAUACUCCAUACCUGGAAUGAGGCAGCUUCUGGGCCUUCUGGAUCAAUUUCACUCAACUCAUUGAGUGAAUGCCAAGGGUAUUCUAUCUCCCCAGAGUUGUGAGAACUCAACAGAAGAGUUUAGGAUCCUCAUCUCCGGGGAGGAGUGGCAUGCUGUGAGGCACAUUCUGCCAUUUCCACACUCUGAAGAAUAUUCUGAGAUUGCAAGACUGAAAUUGAAAUUCUUAUGUAUGCCAAUAAAGAUCUUCUUAAUGUAUAUAACCGGAAACAAACCAACAAAGAAUCAAAAUAAAACGGGUAGAGUGGAGAGGCACUAAAGCUGAAAAGAAAUUUAUCAGUUAUCUGUGAUAUAUUGUAAGAUUUUAGUGUCCAAUCACCCAAAUUUUCUCAAUAAAUACCUUUACAACCUGAAAACAUGAAUUUGAAGUUAAUACAUAUGUUUGUUUCUAUAUCAGAGGCCUUUCAGAACUAUAGCCUCAGUUUGGGGCCACAGGGGAUGUCUAGAGCUGAA